rnacentral:rRNA from 1 species
CCAGACUCCUACGGGAGGCAGCAGUGGGGAAUAUUGCACAAUGGGGGAAACCCUGAUGCAGCGACGCCGCGUGAGCGAAGAAGUAUUUCGGUAUGUAAAGCUCUAUCAGCAGGGAAGAAAUUGACGGUACCUGAGUAAGAAGCUCCGGCUAAAUACGUGCCAGCAGCCGCGGUAAUACGUAUGGAGCAAGCGUUAUCCGGAUUUACUGGGUGGAAAGGGAGCGUAGACGGCGGUGCAAGCCAGAUGUGAAAGCCCGGGGCUCAACCCCGGGACUGCAUUUGGAACUGUGCUGCUAGAGUGUCGGAGAGGCAGGCGGAAUUCCUAGUGUAGCGGUGAAAUGCGUAGAUAUCAGGAGGAACACCGGUGGCGAAGGCGGCCUGCUGGACUGCAACUGACGUUGAGGCCCGAAAGCGUGGGGAGCAAACAGGAUUAGAUACCCCUGUAAU